rnacentral:rRNA from 1 species
AACCUUAUCAUUUAGAGGAAGGAGAAGUCGUAACAAGGUUUCCGUAGGUGAACCUGCGGAAGGAUCAUUGUCGAGACAGAAAUACACCGAGCGAUUCGGAGAACCCGUGAAAUCAGCCAACCGCCGUCCUUGGCCGUCGCCCCCGCCCCCUCCUCGCGGGGCGGGCGGGGGCGCGGCGGGGGACGGAUGAAACACAAACCGGCGCAGCAUCGCGCCAAGGGAAAGAUCGAAAGGCACGAGCCCCGCGUCGGGUUCGGUGGCGUGGGGUGCUGUUGCACGCCAUGCGGAUGGAAACGACUCUCGGCAAUGGAUAUCUCGGCUCUCGCAUCGAUGAAGAGCGCAGCGAAAUGCGAUACGUGGUGCGAAUUGCAGAAUCCCGCGAACCAUCGAGUCUUUGAACGCAAGUUGCGCCCGAGGCCAGCCGGCCGAGGGCACGUCCGCCUGGGCGUCAAGCGUUGCGUCGCUCCGUGCCAAACGCGUCCCGCCAGUGGGCGCCGGCCGUGGCCCGGAUGUGCAGAGUGGCUCGUCGUGCCCGUCGGCGCGGCGGGCUGAAGAGCGGGUUCCGUCUCGCCGGCCGCGAACAACAAGGGGUGGGUGAAAGCUGUGAGCGCAGCCUGCGUUGUCCCGCGCCGGCCCGAGAGACGGGCCGUGCCUACCAUGUGAUCCCGGCCCAUGCGCCGAUCGGCAUGCGGCGGCUUGGAAUGCGACCCCAGGACGGGCGAGGCCACCCGCCGAGUUU